rnacentral:rRNA from 1 species
GUGGGGAAUCUUGCGCAAUGGGCGAAAGCCUGACGCAGCCAUGCCGCGUGAAUGAUGAAGGUCUUAGGAUUGUAAAAUUCUUUCACCGGGGACGAUAAUGACGGUACCCGGAGAAGAAGCCCCGGCUAACUUCGUGCCAGCAGCCGCGGUAAUACGACGGGGGCUAGCGUUGCUCGGAAUUACUGGGCGUAAAGGGCGCGUAGGCGGACAGUUUAGUCAGAGGUGAAAGCCCAGGGCUCAACCUUGGAAUUGCCAUUGAUACUGGCUGUCUUGAGUACGGGAGAGGUGAGUGGAAAUCCGAGUGUAGAGGUGAAAUUCGUAGAUAUUCGGAAGAACACCAGUGGCGAAGGCGACUCACUGGCCCGUUACUGACGCUGAGGCGCGAAAGCGUGGGGAGCAAACAGGAUUAGAAACCCGUGUAGUCC